rnacentral:rRNA from 1 species
AGGCCUAAUACAUGCAAGUCGAGCGCACCUUCGGGUGAGCGGCGGACGGGUGAGUAACGCGUGGGAACGUGCCCUUUGGUUCGGAACAACACAGGGAAACUUGUGCUAAUACCGAAUGUGCCCUUCGGGGGAAAGAUUUAUCGCCAUUGGAGCGGCCCGCGUUGGAUUAGCUAGUUGGUGGGGUAAAGGCCCACCAAGGCGACGAUCCAUAGCUGGUCUGAGAGGAUGAUCAGCCACACUGGGACUGAGACACGGCCCAGACUCCUACGGGAGGCAGCAGUAGGGAGUCUUGCGCAAUGGGCGAAAGCCUGACGCAGCCAUGCCGCGUGAAUGAUGAAGGUCUUAGGAUUGUAAAAUUCUUUCACCGGGGAAGAUAAUGACGGUACCCGGAGAAGAAGCCCCGGCUAACUUCGUGCCAGCAGCCGCGGUAAUACGAAGGGGGCUAGCGUUGCUCGGAAUUACUGGGCGUAAAGGGCGCGUAGGCGGACAGUUUAGUCAGAGGUGAAAGCCCAGGGCUCAACCUUGGAACUGCCUUUGAUACUGGCUGUCUUGAGUUCGGGAGAGGUGAGUGGAAUGCCGAGUGUAGAGGUGAAAUUCGUGGAUAUUCGGCGGAACACCAGUGGCGAAGGCGACUCACUGGCCCGAUACUGACGCUGAGGCGCGAAAGCGUGGGG